CCAAUGGUAUAUACUCACCUGUGGAGUUUUGCGCAAUGCAGUAAUGCUUAGAAAGCUUCACUGUGAAGGUGAUAAAGACAUCAUGUGCUGGUUCAUGAAAUAGACUUUUUGCAAGUGAACUUCAAUUUCCGACAGUAUAAACAGCCUCUUUGUUACAAUAGCUUGGCAGACAUGCUUACCUUCAAGAAACAGUGUACAUAACUCUUUGCGCAACUAAUCAUUGCGUCAGCUGUGAUGUCGUGCACAUGUAGGUGGACGGUCUAAAACACUAGGUGGGUAGCAUUUCUGGAACCCUCGGCUGCAGGUUCCCUCAAUCAUGUCGUGGUUUUGCAAUGUUUAAGCCCCUACCAAUAGUUAAGUUUAGAUGGCAUGCGAUUCAUUUUGUUGCCCAAUAUUCAGAUUUCUAGGGUGCUGCAGCCAAAAUGAUCUGGGCAAAGAAAAUAAAGACCGCUCACAAUUGUGCUGAAAUAAAGUAGAAAAUUUAUCAGCGAUACAGUAUGCACAAUACAUUCUUACAGCAAGGGUUUUGUUUUCAGGUGUCCUUGUUGAGAAACGAUUUAAGAACCUGCGUGAUAUCUUCAAAAGGAAACAACACGACAUACGUGAAAAAACAAAGAAGUGGAGCCGGAGCAGCCGACAUUCCAACAAUAAAAUGGCCCCAUUUUGAGGCCAUGCUUGAAUUAAUGGAAGGAGAGUCUGAGCCUGUGGCCAGCCACAUCACAGCAGAAGAGGCUAACGAGAGAUCACCGCCUCGGCCAAGACAUGCAGCGGAACCGGAACGUACCCCUGAUACGGCUGAGGAGACUCGUGUAGACACCUGCAGCAAUGAG